GUGAUCGUUCCCUUAAUCGCAGACAACUGCACCUCAUGUGCACUUGGGUGACCGGGGAUUGCCUCAAGGUAUUUCUUCAGGUUCGUCUUCAUAAGCCAUGUUGCUCCCAUCACAACUGGUAUGAUAUCUAUUUCUUUCAAUGACCACGUUGUUUGUAGGUCAUUUUUGAGGUCUUGGUAUUUCAUGAUUUUCUCCCUUUCAGCUCUAUUCAGGCCAU